UACGUAGGGUGCAAGCGUUGUCCGGAAUUAUUGGGCGUAAAGAGCUCGUAGGCGGUCUGUCGCGUCUGCUGUGAAAAUCAGGGCUCAACCCUGGACCUGCAGUGGGUACGGGCAGACUAGAGUGCGGUAGGGGAGAUCGGAAUUCCUGGUGUAGCGGUGAAAUGCGCAGAUAUCAGGAGGAACACCGGUGGCGAAGGCGGAUCUCUGGGCCGUAACUGACGCUGAGACGCGAAAGCGUGGGGAGCAAACAGG
rnacentral:rRNA from 1 species